rnacentral:rRNA from 1 species
AGUGAACGCUGGCGGUAGGCCUAACACAUGCAAGUCGAACGGCCGCACCGUAAGAGCUUGCUGUUACGGGUGGAGAGUGUCAGAAGGGUGAGGAAUACUUCGGAAUAUACUUUUUCGUGGGGGAUAACGUAGGGAAACUUACGCUAAUACAGCAUACGACCUACGGGUGAAAGCAGGGGAUCUUCGGACCUUUCGCGAUUGAAUGAGCCGCUGUCGGAUUAGCUAGUUGGCGGGGUAAAGGCCCAACAAGGCGCCGAUCCGGAGCUGGUCAGAGAGGAUGAACAGGCACACUGGAGCGGAUACACGGUCCAGACUCGUACGGGAGGCAGCAGUGGCGAAUAUGGGACGAUGGGCGGAAGCCUGAUCCGGCCAUACCGCGUGGGUGAAGAAGGCAUUCGGGUUGUGAAACGCUGGUGUUUGGAAAGAAAACCAGCAGUUUAAGACACCGCUGUUCUGACGGUACCCAAAGAAUAAGCACCGGCUAACUUCGUG